ensembl:lncRNA
AGACCUCAUUUAAGGGUUGGCAGUGGAGGUAAGGGUGUCUUGCUAGAGAUCUCUGCCUACCUGAGGCUUUCUAAAGAAUGGUCACCUGUGGCCCUGUGAGUUGCCUUUGGCCAGGACCGGAUAAUUCAUGAGGAGAGAGGUGUCUUACUCUGGUGGCUUUGAGCCCUCUUGGUUUUUGUGUUUUCUGAAUGGUUGAAAUCCUUGGAAGAAUUGGCCAAGGAGAAGACUUCCAUAUUUGCGGAGUACUAUGCAAACAUGCUCUGAAGUCUUGCAGUUUUAGAGGGAACCAUGCAGCUCUCAGCUUAUGUCAAAGGGGCUUGACACUCCUUAAUGUUCAUUCAUGUGGAUUCUUGCAAUUCUUGCAGUACGCUUCCAGAACUGUACAAACAGAAGGUCUGUUUCUCCUUCAACUAUUUCUGAAGAGUUUCGUGAAGGUGAGGCAAACUCCCUGAUUGCAAGAGUUUAUGCAACCUGUAGAAGGCACUGUUCUAAUUCUUCAGCCAGUGUAACAUUAGUCCCGAAGGGCAUGCUCCUGAUCUUUGUGCUGGUGUUUGAUUUGCUGCCUUGCUGAAGGAUGUACCCAAAAUCUUGGAUGUCACUGAGAAUAUAUUUCAGGUGCUGGUUACAGCUGACAAAGUGUGAUGGACCGAUGAGAUCAAGCACUAACAGCACAGCCAGGAGUUAGUUUUCUUAGCAAGCCUUAAGUUGUUCUUUAAAGGUCUACUUUUCAACUUGUUGAUUUAACAUCACCAGUGAUCUAUGGACAUCUCUAUACAGCAAGGUGGAAUGCCUCUGAAGUUUCAUAUAUUGUGUGCAUUCAUGAAGCAAUACAGCAGAAACAUAGGGAUAUUAUACUGAAUAAUAUGGCAAUCCUGUGCCAUCUUGCUGAGGAUGAGCAGAAUGAAUAUUCCGAAGGAAAUAAAGGAUCCCAGAAUGGACUGAUAGAAGAUGAGUAAUAAAAAGCACAAGUAUCUUGGAUGCAUGAUGGUACAUACAAAGCUAUUCGUAAACAUUAAGUCUCACUAAUGGCAACUGAUAAAAUAAUAAUGUGCAGUUGUCCUAAUUUCAUUUUCAAAAAUACCGAUGUUGAGUACAAUGAGUUUGAAGGAUGAACAAUAGAAAGAAUG